UAGUUACGGCCUAACGCCUCAUCUAAUCUAAUCCUUUAUCAGUCUGAUAAGAUAAAUUACUCACAUGCAGCGAGUUGCUAGUUAUAAUGACAUAGACAUGUUUGUUAGUUUGGUUAGUUUCGAGGCAAGUUGCGUCAACACUAAGACAGAUUCUGAGCUCAUACGAUGAAUAACGCUGCUAAACUAAUAAGUUUAGUGAUAGUAAAUUUGAUUGCUGUCACAGGUUUCGAGAAGUACACGAAGGAGGAUCUACGGAAUUUGAGAUGACGUGGAAUCGAAUCACAAUGCUGAUGAUUCUGAAUCUUCUGAUACAUGGGUCGACUACAACUCGGAUCCCGAAUUUAACUCCAAAUGGAAAGCUAUCCAAUCUCAAAGAUGGAAGCGUAAGAGAGCGAGUACUUCAGCUUCAAUGCCUUCAUGUCUGAAUCAGGUAUUAGGGUCUUAAAUUUUAUUGUGUUCUUUCUUUUUCUUCUCUUCUGUAUUUUACCUACUCAUAUUGUCACUAAGUUGAACUAAGUUCAUAGAAGACUGAGCUAAGUAGGCAGUGGUGCCAAUCGUCUAUGAUUUCUUUUGUUUCUGUUAUAAUUAGUUUAUGUUUUACUACUUUUGCCGCAUGAGGCUAGACCUCUUGGCAAUUUUAUUUGUAGUGGCCUUAACUUAAUUUGUAUUAUGUUUUUUCUUUUAUUAAUAAAUGAAAUCUGAAAAUCUGAAA